GGACUUAAUGUCACGGUACCCAAUUUUCUGCCCCGG
rnacentral:misc_RNA from 1 species